GACGAACGCUGGCGGCGUGCUUAACACAUGCAAGUCGAACGGAAAGGCCCUGCUUUUGUGGGGUGCUCGAGUGGCGAACGGGUGAGUAACACGUGAGUAACCUGCCCCUGACUUUGGGAUAACUUCAGGAAACUGGGGCUAAUACCGGAUAGGAUCUCCUGCUGCAUGGUGGUGGUUGGAAAGUUUCGGCGGUUGGGGAUGGACUCGCGGCUUAUCAGCUUGUUGGUGGGGUAGUGGCUUACCAAGGCUUUGACGGGUAGCCGGCCUGAGAGGGUGACCGGCGACAUUGGGACUGAGGUACGGACCAGACGGCUACGGGAGGCAGCAGUGGGGAAUAUUGCACAAUGGGCGGAAGCGUGAGGCAGCAACGCCGCGUGCGGGAUGACGGCCUUCGGGGUGUAAACCGCUUUCGACUGUGACGAAGCGUGAGUGACGGUAAUGGGUAAAGAAGCACCGGCUAACUACGUG
rnacentral:rRNA from 1 species